rnacentral:misc_RNA from 1 species
UUUCCGUAGGUGAACCUGCGGAAGGAUCAUUAUUGAAUGAACUUGGUGUGGUUGUUGCUGGCUCUUUCGAGGGCAUGUGCACGCCCACCAUCCUCAUCUCUCCACCUGUGCACCUCUUGUAGACUUGGAUUGACUUUCCGAGGCAACUCGGUCGGGAGGAUUGCCGGCGCCAGCUGGCUUUCUCUGCAUUUCCAGGUCUACAUUUUUCAUAUACCCCAUUGUAUGUAACAGAAUGUAACAUCGGGCACUUGUGCCUAUAAACUUUAUACAACUUUCAGCAACGGAUCUCUUGGCUCUC